AGGUACUGGGAUGAGGAGGACUCAUGCGGGCACCUCCAGAGACAGCGGGAACGGGAGCGUGCUGCGGAGAAGGAAAAUUCCAGGUGAAUUGCCAUGAGAGGAAAUACUUCAGAGGGGCUUCCCUCCAGAUAAGCCCUGAAUAUGCGGGGAGGUUUCAGCCGGGAGAAAGGAACUGUGGAAGAAAAGCAGCCUAAAAAUAGCCAGUGGGGAUCAUGAGGUUUGCCAGCCAAGAAAAACAAGGAGGGAGAUGAGGGAAUCGGGUUCCAAUUCCUAAUGAUUUGGUGGGUGUAGGAAUGCUCUCUGUGUGUUUUGCAGCCCCUUUUGAUUCCUGGGAGGAUUUUAAAAUGAUGGUUUUAGCAAUCAGCUGAAUUGGAGAUGUUGUUUUUGAGAGGAAAUCAGGCCAAAUAAAUGCAGAGUUUUGGGUCAUUUUUGGGGGUGAUUUGGGUCAGUUUUUGG